GGUUUUAUAUUCAAUGAUGAUUUUAAAUUGCAAAUUUAAAGGUGAAUACUUAUUCUAAAACUU
rnacentral:tRNA from 1 species